UACAGAGGGUGCAAGCGUUAAUCGGAAUUACUGGGCGUAAAGCGUGCGUAGACGGUUAUGUAAGUCAGGUGUGAAAGCCCCGGGCUCAACCUGGGAAUGCCAUUUGAGACUGCAUAGCUAGGGUACGGAAGAGGGAAGCGGAAUUUCAGGUAUAGCGGUGAAAUGCGUAGAUAUCUGAAGGAACACCAGUGGCGAAAAGCGGCUUCCUGGUCCAGUACCGACGUCAGGCACGAAAGCGUGGGGAGCAAACAGG
rnacentral:rRNA from 1 species